UCAAGCUCCUGAAUGAACUGCUUAUAAGACUUCAAUCCCUCUCUUUGAUUGUUCCCUGCACCAAAGCUAUCUGCAAAUCCUCCGCGAACAGGGCCCCAGUCUCCUCCUCGAUAGCCACCAGACGAGCGUCCUGCAAAUCGUCCAUGAUGCCUCUCAUCAGGAUAACCAGGUCUACCCCCCAUCUCACGGUCAUAACCUCCUUGAUGGUCAUAACCAUAUCUUCGAUCACCAUGCCCAAAACCACCUCUAGGACUUCCACGGCGUCCAUCAUAGUCAUCUCUACGAGAACGCUUAUAAGGUGGAAAUGGAGGCGAACGACGGUGAGGAGGAGAAUAUCCACCACGUCGGUCACGAUAAGGAGGAAGAGGAGGAGGAGGGCUAUGGCUAGGCCUUCCACGUUUGUAGUCACGCUCUCGACCAGGAGGAUGAUGAGGAGGAGAACGAUUACGAUCGUAAUAGUCCCCACGACCACCUCUACGAUCAAAAUCCCUGUCAUCCCUCCGUUCCCGUGAAUCUCUAUCACGGCCACGCCUCGACGGCGGAGGAGGAGGAGGCGGUGGUGGAGAAGAUACCGGUGGCUCUUCCGUCGACUUGUUUGGAUUUUCCUUGCUUCGUUCACGGCGGCGUUCUAAACCUUCCGACGGAGCGUCCAUUACUUCAGCCAUGGGCGGCGACGGUGGCGGUGAAUCGUCGGGAAGAGAAACCCUAGCUGAGAGUGCAGUGUUUGUUUGUAGAUGUGGAAAUUAAGAGUGACAAAUGGAGAAUAAAAGAUUGGUGAGAGAGGUGAGGCCAGGGAAUUACGACUCCAUUGAUGGCUAAGAAGACUGAUAAGAGAGGUGGGGUUAUAGUGGCUAGUGAAGCAAAGCAGCAGCAGCAACAGCAGCAG
rnacentral:misc_RNA from 1 species